GAAUCUCAUUACGGCCUGCGAUAUUCGCUACUGCACGCAGGACGCUUGGUUCCAGGUGAAGGAAGUGGACCUUGGACUGGCAGCCGACGUCGGCGCAUUGCAGCGCUUGCCACGCAUCAUCGGGAAUCGGAGCCUAGUGAACGAGUUGGCUUUCACUGGCAGAAAGCUUAUGGCCCCGGAGGCGGAGAGCUGCGGCCU